rnacentral:lncRNA from 1 species
AACACAUUGUACCCAUCCACCUGCCCUGUGGGGGGCUUUGCCCGGCUUGGGCCUUGGCUUUGCCUUUUGGUGUCCGCCCGCCCCCGGGGCCCCCAGAAAGGGGCUGAUCCCUCCUCCUGGAGCGCCCUGCACGCGCUCCCAAGACCAUUCCCCGGUCCCUUCAUCCCAUUCUCCGGAGAAACGAGCCCAGGGCUGGCCUCUGCCCUGCUGCUCGUCCUCCCUCGGCAUCCGGAAGGCGAAGUCUUAGCCUCUGAACCCCGGCCUCCCGGACUAGACGGUUGUUCCAGAGAGGGUGUGAAGGAGUCCCUCCUUCCCGGCAAGAUGGGGCCAGAGAACCUGCUGCCCCCUCGCCGUCAGCCCCCAGAACCCCGCUGUCUUCCAUCCUUGGAAACCCAACGUAAACGCCAUGUAAUCCUAUCGACGCCAUCAUUAAGUCAGGCCCAGCCUUCUAGGCCGCCGAAUCUCUUUGGUUCCCGACUUUAUUGUUACCCAUGUGUUCCGUCCCUCUCCUAAGGCAAGCAAGCCCCUUAAAUGCUUCUGAGCCUGAGCACCCCUGGAAAAUAGAAUUAAAUACUGUGCUCGGGAUUGUUGCAAGGAAAAUGCUAUAAUCACCACAGCUGGUGUUUACGGAGCACUUUAUAUAUGUUAGCUCCUUUGCUCCUUAUUACAGACCUGUGAGUUAGUUGCUAUUAAAUAAUUCCCAUUUUACAGAAUCUGAAGAAGAAUUCAAGCUCCAAGUACCACUCUCUAUCCAUAGUCAGCUAAAGUGAAUCCUAAUGCCUUGGCUGAAAUGAGAUUUAUAUUACUUUUAUAUCUGAAAAUGGAUGUUCACCCAGCAAACCAUUGACAAUUGCUCAAGCUCUUAGUUCUGGCUCUGUUGGUAAAUUUGGGGCUCAGCUUCCCCAUUUGUAAAAUAAGCAAGCACCAGGCACUCCAGCCUAAAGAUUUCACACUUCUUUAAAACAAAGAAACAGGAGAUUGCCCUGAGUUUUCUUCAAGUCUACCUGGCACAGCUUCCCAUUCUUACAAAGGAGAAUGGAUUAAGAAAUAGUGAGAAAAUGUCAGGGAUGUUUGAACAUUCUGUGGUUUCUGGGUUCCUGUUCUCAAAUUGUGAGAGCCAUGUUUUACAUUUGAAAACACUUUGUCUCCCAAGCAUCCGUGUGAUCUCAUAAAAAAUGGGCAGGUGCUCUCAGUUCUAAAGACCAAGAUUGCUCUAAAAUAAAGUCUGUCUUGUGCCUCUCCUUCAGACCACUUCAUUUCUGAGGCACCUUCCUGUUCUGACAAUCUGAAGCCUGUGAAGUUGCUCCCUAACAAAUGGGACCCUGAUUGCGCCUCAUCCCAAAGACUUUCAUUCCCAGAGAAGAUGCUGAUGUGGAGAAAGAGUCACCCCAAAAUGUGGGGCACCAUAGGGGAUAAAGAGCUAAUAAGAACUCAUAAUAAUACAUUUAUAGAGUCGGUCAGGUGACAAAGCAUUUUAUACUGCCUUGUUUGUUCCUGGUAACAAACUAAUAUUGUCAGGGCAGACGUUAUCACUGUUUUGUGGCGAGAAGCAUUUUAUACACUCCUCAUUUAUAAAGUUCAGAGAGCAGAAACAGACGGCUUAAAGCCACACAGAAGGUGUCAAGGCCAGGUUCUCAACCCAAGGCUUCUCUGCUCUAACCCCCAUUUCUUCUUCACUGCAGCAGGUGAGGUCCUGGUCUUCCAGUAGCUAUGGAAGUGGAGAGAUGUGGAAGAGAAAGGGACAAUUAGCAGUCUGUAAUCUCAGACCCAGUGAGUGAUACUGACAGCACUAAGGAUCCAGAGGAAGGACAGACCAUGGGCCAGGGUCAAAGGAUCUUUGGAUUUAGCGAUCACUUCAGGCCACCCUUCAUUCAUUCCUCCAUUUAUUUGUGGAGGUAAUUGGGGCUAAAUUACUUGCCCAGGGACAUACAGCCAGGAAGUAUUGUGUCUGAGGUCAGAUUUUAACUCAGGUCCUCCUGACUCCAGUGCGGAUGCUCUAUCCACUGCACCACCUGGCUAUCCCCCUUCCCCCUUCCCUUAAAAUAAGAAAAAACUGACACGGGGUUGGCUCUAUAUUCCACAGUCCAUUUCUAGCUGAGGAUUCCUCCCAUUCCCUGCCUCCCUUGUUCCUCAGCAGUUGCCCAGGACAGGAUGGGAAUCCUGCUCUCCUGGCAUUGGGCCAAGUACCCAGGAGGAGGGAUGGGGAGUCUGGGCUUCAGAAACACUGGGGGCAGGCAGGGGUUCCCCAGCAUCUGCCUUGGCAUCCGAGCCCCACGUCUAGUGGUCCCCGAAAGCUCCCUGCACACACUUCAGAUCUGAACUGCCAUCGUGCCUUCCUAACCCCAGCCCGUCUGCCCAGGGGUACUUAUCCCUGCACCGUGCCUUGGUUCUGGCUGACCCCUCUCUUCCCCACGCCCGACCCCUCCUGGGGCCUUUCCUUUGCCAAUUCUCUUCCUGGUCCCAAAGGCACUUCCUUUGUUUGCUAAAUUGUGCAGCAUCGCCCCCAACCCUUCCACAUUAAGCAGAUAUUCCUCCUCCUCUGGGCAGCCUUCCCACACUGCGGAAGCUCUUUCUGAGCUCCCAGAUUCCUUGUCAUCUCUGCUCUGCCCUGGAAUACCGGGAGGCAGCCUGGCAUAAACCCUCAUUCCCCACCUUCCAAAGGAUAAUGCAGG